AACCAGCCCUGAUUGAAGCGGCAUCCUUUUUUGUCCCGAUUGAAAAAUCGAGAUAAAAAAGAUAUAGCGAAAAGCAGGUUCCCGG
rnacentral:sRNA from 1 species